UACGGAGGGCGCAAGCGGUGUUCGGAAUCAUUGGGCGUAAAGCGCGUGUAGGCGGCUUGGUAAGUCGAGUGUGAAAGCCCGGGGCUCAACCCCGGAAGGUCGCUCGAAACUGCCUCGCUCGAGUCCCGGAGAGGAAGGCGGAAUUCCCGGUGUAGAGGUGAAAUUCGUAGAUAUCGGGAGGAACACCAGCGGCGAAGGCGGCCUUCUGGACGGUGACUGACGCUGAGACGCGAAAGCGUGGGGAGCAAACAGG
rnacentral:rRNA from 1 species